UACGUAGGUGGCAAGCGUUGUCCGGAUUUAUUGGGCGUAAAGGGAGCGCAGGUGGUUUCUUAAGUCUGAUGUGAAAGCCCACGGCUUAACCGUGGAGGGUCAUUGGAAACUGGGGAACUUGAGUGCAGAAGAGGAAAGUGGAAUUCCAAGUGUAGCGGUGGAAUGCGUAGAUAUUUGGAGGAACACCUGUGGCGAAGGCGACUUUCUGGUCUGUAACUGACACUGAGGCUCGAAAGCGUGGGGAGCGAACAGGAUUAGAUACCCUGGUAGUCCCUGA
rnacentral:rRNA from 1 species